AUACCGGAUAGUGCAUCGAUUGCUGGAAUGCAUGAUGUACGAAAGCUGAGGCGCCCAAGGAUAGGUCUGUGGCCGAUUAGGUUGUUGUUGAUGUAACGGAUCAACAAGCCUACGAUCGGUACGGGUUGUGAGAGCAAUAGCCCGGAGAUGGGUUCUGAGAGAAGAACCCAGGUCCUACGGGACGCAUCAGGCGCGAAAACUUUACAAUGUGCGAAAGCACGAUAAGGGAACUCUGAGUGCCUCCUAAGGAGGCUGUUCAGAUGUUUAAAAAGCAUCUGGAGGAAGGGCUGGGCAAGACCGGUGCCAGCCGCCGCGGUAACACCGGCAGCCCAAGUGGUAGUCAUGCUUACUGGGUCUAAAGCGUCCGUAGCCGGCUAGGUAAGUUCCUUGGGAAAUUUGAUCGCUUAACGAUCAAGCUACCUGGGAAUACUACUUGGCUUGGGACCGGGAGAGGUCAGAGGUACUUCAAGGGUAGGGGUGAAAUCCGUUAAUCCUUGGGGGACCACCAGUAGCGAAGGCGUCUGAUCAGACCGGAUCCGACGGUGAGGGACGAAGGCUAGGGGAGCGAAGCGGAUUAGAUACCCGCGUAGUCCUAGCUGUAAACGAUGCGGGCUA
rnacentral:rRNA from 1 species